CGUCCCGCCCCAUUUAGCGUGGGUGCAAUCAAAUCACGGAGCAGUGGGUUAAAUCCAAGGAUGCGUUCAAAUUGUGCAUCUCAACUGAGGGCUGCUCACUUGACUGACUUGCUAUACUUGUUCAACCUAAGAAUGUUUCAGUUUGCAUUCCAUCAUGUGUAAAACAAGUGUGGCAUGUCAUACUUGCCAACUUGACUGAAAGAAUUGAAGAAAUAUGGCUGCACAGUCAACGAAAGAAGUGAGCCUGUUAACAGCCUAAUACUGAUGAUUAUGCAACUACAACACCCAUGAUGCUUUUCAGUCUACGAAGAAUGAGGCUCUUCUCUUUAACACAUUAUAGGAUAGGGGCACUUGCCAAAUUUGAUAGGAAACUUAUUUUUUUUAAUUGCUUCCCGACUCAGAUCAAUUAGAAAUUUAGCUGUGGAUUUGUCCAAUUGUCCUGACUCCAAAACAAACACUUGGUGACAGCAAAUCUAAAUUAAAAAAUCUCUGUGUAUUAGGAACACUCACCGAUGAACCAGGCAAGAAUGGAGCUGCUCACGGGCUACCGUCAAUCUGGACCUUCUCGGUGAGCCGCACAGAUCAAGAACCUUGUCCCGUAGACUAGCGAGGCCACCGUCGUAGGAUUCGAGGCCGACGCUGGAGCAGUUGAUAGCCAAGUCAAUCCCUAGCAAGAAGGGAAAGGGGGAUGAGGAGAAGGGGAACAUGAUGAUGCGGAGAAGGAGAUGGUGGAGGGUAGCUAAGGAUGCGCAUGACUUUUUUUGCGGGAGAGGUGGCAACAGUAGUGGCUGGGUUCGGCAGCGACGGUAGUGGCUGGAGCCGCCGACGGCGGCAGGCCGUCUUGCUGUGCGAGUAAAGAGAUGCGGCUUUCCUUCGAAAGAAACUAAUCCAACUCAUGCCCAACCCAUCUUUGCAGUAAACCCGUCCUGCCCACCCCGCAAGCAACUACAGCCCAUUCAUACCCAUCCCAGCAAGGCCUAUCUCAGACCCCGCCCCGAAAUCCCCGUUUCCACCCGCCCCGUUAGCAGCAGGUCUACCUAAAGGCUAUCAACCUCGGGCCGUCGAGGCGCGCAGCGUCUUCAUCUCAAAGGCAACAAGACUGGCACGCUCACGUCUGCGUGGUUGCUCGCCGGGGACCAAUGCGAGCCACAGCGACGGCGCCG
rnacentral:lncRNA from 1 species